UACGGAGGGUGCGAGCGUUGUUCGGAAUCACUGGGCGUAAAGCGCGUGUAGGCGGCCUUCUAAGUCUGGUGUGAAAGCCCGGGGCUUACCCCCGGAAGUGCACUGGAUACUGGGAGGCUCGAGUACCGGAGAGGAAGGUGGAAUUCCUGGUGUAGCGGUGAAAUGCGUAGAUAUCAGGAGGAACACCGGUGGCGAAGGCGGCCUUCUGGACGGAUACUGACGCUGAGACGCGAAAGCUAGGGGAGCAAACAGG
rnacentral:rRNA from 1 species